rnacentral:rRNA from 1 species
CACCUCCAGCAUCCCUAGUAUUGGAGGCACUGCCUGCCCAGUGACUAAACGUUAAACGGCCGCGGUAUUCUGACCGUGCAAAGGUAGCAUAAUCAUUUGUUCUCUAAAUAAGGACUUGUAUGAAUGGCCACACGAGGGUUUUACUGUCUCUUACUUCCAAUCAGUGAAAUUGGCCUCCCCGUGAAGAGGCGGGGAUAAAUCAACAAGACGAGAAGACCCUAUGGAGCUUUAACUAAGUAACUCAAGGAAAAUAAAUUCAACCACCAAGGGAUAACAACACUCCUUAUGAGUUAACAGUUUCGGUUGGGGUGACCUCGGAGAACAGAAAAUCCUCCGAGCGAUUUUAAAGACUAGACUAACAAGUCAAACCAAACCAUCGCUUAUUGAUCCAAAAACUUGAUCAACGGAACAAGUUACCCUAGGGAUAACAGCGCAAUCCUAUUCAAGAGUCCAUAUCGACAAUAGGGUUUACGACCUCGAUGUUGGAUCAGGACACCCCGAUGGUGCAACCGCUAUCAAAGGUUCGUUUGUUCAACGAUUAAAGUCCU